rnacentral:rRNA from 1 species
GACGAACGCUGGCGGCGUGCUUAACACAUGCCAGUCGAACGCUGAAGCUUGGUGCUUGCACUGGGUGGAUGAGUGGCGAACGGGUGAGUAAUACGUGAGUAACCUGCCCUUGACUCUGGGAUAAGCCUGGGAAACUGGGUCUAAUACUGGACACGACAUGUCACCGCAUGGUGGUGUGUGGAAAGGGUUUUACUGGUUUUGGAUGGGCUCACGGCCUAUCAGCUUGUUGGUGGGGUAAUGGCUCACCAAGGCGACGACGGGUAGCCGGCCUGAGAGGGUGACCGGCCACACUGGGACUGAGACACGGCCCAGACUCCUACGGGAGGCAGCAGUGGGGAAUAUUGCACAAUGGGCGGAAGCCUGAUGCAGCGACGCCGCGUGAGGGAUGACGGCCUUCGGGUUGUAAACCUCUUUCAGCACGGAAGAAGCGAAAGUGACGGUACGUGCAGAAGAAGCGCCGGCUAACUACGUG